rnacentral:tRNA from 1 species
GAGCCGUUAGCUCAGUUGGUAGAGCGCCUGACUUUUAAUCAGGGGGUCGCUGGUUCGAUCCCAGCACGGCUCACCA